rnacentral:lncRNA from 1 species
GAGAGGAAUGUAAGAUAACUUCAGACUCGUUUAGACAGAAGAAGGCACAGCCAGUGCUAAGUCUGGGGCUGUCUUGUGUGUGUGUGUGUGUGUGUGUGUGUGUGUGUGUAUAGUGUGGAGGCCAGUAGGUGGGGCAGUUGUACUCUGAAUGGAGUGUGUGGCAGCAUUGGGGGAAGCAGAGAACAAAGCUGAACACUGAUAGAAGUGUGUGUCCUAGGAUGUAGCUUCUCUGCCUGGCCUGCAACUGCAGCAUGCUCUGGAGAGGAAGGAUGCUCAGUCCAGGGGAGCAGGAGAAGAGGAUGGUGAGAAGCUGCAGAGGCCAGUUGGAUUUGCCAUCUGGAUCUAGAUGCCUGCUCUGUACCAGCGCCACCUGCAGAAAUGAAGCUAUGGCAUUUUAUUGAUGUCAUCUUCAUCAGUGGACCUGGCCAAGACUUUGUGUCAUACACCGCCACAACUAAAACCCAGAGCUUAGGCACCACCUUCUUGAUCCUGAUAAGAACCUGAUGUGGACCAAUGAUUCUGAAACCAUCCUUAGCCCGUGUUCAUCAUCAUCUAGUAUAAGCCAAGAAAGUACCCACCACUUUCUGGAGAAAGAGGUGACCUUAUAUGCCAUCCAUGUACUUUGGUCCACUGAAGACACUGUGGAAGCCAAAAGGUGGACCUAAACCAUUCCCUCAACAGGUCUGUAGCAGUCUCCAGUGUUCAGAGCAAUGGAGUCCGGAUGAGAAGCAAGUCCCUGUGCAUCUAUGGCUCACCAGGAUCCAGCUCUUGAAGGGUGACGACCACAAUUCCACCUGAAAAUUCCACUUUGACAUCUAACCUCUCCUCUGAUGUUCCUGACUUCGCUCUGCACUUCUUUAAUUGGUAAGCAGGAGUGAGAGAGUCGAUUCCUAGGCAGAUUGAUAAGAAGUCCAGGGGUCCCCAAGGAGAGAGG